UGGAUAUGAAAUAAAUCUUGGUAGGAAAUACUUCUGGACUAGCUAAAGGUGCGGACUACCUACACCUAGAUAGAAAGAUCCUAUGAAGCUUCACUAUUCCCUGGGAUUGACUUUGGGCCUUUCCUGCGCAGCUUAGGUGGAAGGCGAAGAAGGCCUCUUUCUGGGGGCGGGGGGUGGGGGUGGAGCCAUCAGUGAGAUACCACUCUUGAAGGGCUAGAAUUCUAACUUUGUGUCAGGACCUACGGUCCAAGGGAUAGUCUCAGGUAGAGAGUUUCUAUGGGAAAUAGGCCUCCCAAAAGGUAAUGGAGGCGUGCAAAGCUUUCCUCGAGCCGGAGAUAGAUUGGCCCUCGAGGGCAAAGGCAGAAGGGAUCUUGACUACAAGAUCCACCGUCGAGCAGGGACGAAAGUCGGCCUUAGUGAUCAGACGGUGCCGAGUGUAAGGGACAUCGCUCAAUGGAUAAAAGUUACUCUAGCGAUAACACGCUGAUCUUCCCCAAGAGCUCUCAUCGAAGGGAAGGUUUGGCACCUCUAUGUCGGCUCUUCACCACCCGGGGUUGUAGUAUGUUCCAACGGUUAGGCUAUUCACCCAUUAAAGCGGUACAUGAGCUGGGUUCAGAAUGUCGUGAGACAGUUCGGUCCAUAUUCGGUGUAGGCGUUAGAGCAUUGAGAGGACCUUUCCCUAGCAUAAGAGGACCGUGAAGGACGCACCUCUGGUGUACCAGUUAUCGUGCCCAUGUUAAACGCUGGAUAGCCAAGUGCGGAGUGGAUAACUGCUGAAAGCAUCUAAGUAGUAAGCCCACCCCAAUAUGAGUGAUCUCCUAUUCCGACUUCACUAGAGCUUUCGGUAGCACAGCCGAGACAGCGACGGGUUCUCUGCCCCUGCGGGGAUGGAGCGACAGAAGUUUUUUUGAGAAUUAAAGAGAAGGUCACGUUGAGACGAGCUGUUUAUCAGUACGAUAGGUGUAAAGUGGAACUGCAGUGAUGUAUGUAGCUGAGGCAUCCUAAUAGACCGAAUCACUGUUCGCA
rnacentral:rRNA from 1 species